rnacentral:rRNA from 1 species
ACGGCACCACCAGGAGUGGAGACGGCGAUUUAUUUUGACGCAACGAACGAAAACUCACCCGGCCCGGACACCCCGCGGAUUGACAGACUGAUAGCUCUUUCUUAAUUCGGUGGGGGGGGGUGCAUGGCCGUUCUUAGUUGGUGGAGCGAUUUGUCUGGUUAAUUCCGAUAACGAACGAGACUCUGGGCUAUUUUUUUGAGAGUCAUCUCCGUAAGUGAUUCUUACUUCUUAGAGGGACAAGCGGUGGCUAACCUCAUGAAAUAGAGCAAUAACAUGUCUGUGAUGCCCUUAGAUGACCGGGGCUGCGCGGGCGCUACACUGAAAUAAUCGGAGUGCUGCCCGAACCUAGUCCGGAAGGACCGGUUAACUCCGGUAAAUUCUUUCCUGCUUGUAAUAGGGAAUUGAAAUUAUUUCCCUUAAAGGAGGAAUUCCCAGUAAAUGCGGGUCAUAAGCUCGCGUUGAUUACGUCUGUGCCCUUUGCACACACCGCCCGUGUCUACUACCGAUUGUAUGACUCAC